rnacentral:rRNA from 1 species
UAAGGAAUAUUGGUCAAUGGACGCAAGUCUGAACCAGCCAUGCCGCGUGAAGGAUGAAGGUCCUCUGGAUUGUAAACUUCUUUUAUCUGGGACGAAAACGGGAUUUUUAUCUCAAUUGACGGUACCAGAGGAAUAAGCACCGGCUAACUCCGUGCCAGCAGCCGCGGUAAUACGGAGGGUGCGAGCGUUAUCCGGAUUUACUGGGUUUAAAGGGUGCGUAGGUGGGCUUAUAAGUCAGUGGUGAAAUCUCCGAGCUUAACUUGGAAACUGCCGUUGAUACUAUAGGUCUUGAAUUAUCUGGAGGUAAGCGGAAUAUGUCAUGUAGCGGUGAAAUGCUUAGAUAUGACAUAGAACACCAAUUGCGAAGGCAGCUUACUACAUAUAAAUUGACGCUGAGACACGAAAGCGUGGGGAUCAAACA